rnacentral:rRNA from 1 species
AUUGAACGCUGGCGGCAGGCCUAACACAUGCAAGUCGAGCGGGGUUUUCGGACCUAGCGGCGGACGGGUGAGUAAUGCGUAGGAAGCUACCCGAUAGAGGGGGAUACCAGUUGGAAACGACUGUUAAUACCGCAUAAUGUCUACGGACCAAAGUGUGGGACCUUCGGGCCACAUGCUAUCGGAUGCGCCUACGUGGGAUUAGCUAGUUGGUGGGGUAAUGGCUCACCAAGGCGACGAUCCCUAGCUGGUUUGAGAGGAUGAUCAGCCACACUGGAACUGGGACACGGUCCAGACGCCUACGGGAGGCAGCAGUGGGGAAUAUUGGACAAUGGGCGCAAGCCUGAUCCAGCCAUGCCGCGUGUGUGAAGAAGGCCUUCGGGUUGUAAAGCACUUUCAGUAGGGAGGAAGGGUGUUGUGUUAAUAGCACAGCAUUUUGACGUUACCUACAGAAGAAGCACCGGCUAACUCUGUGCCAGCCGCCGCCGUAAAAC